GUGGGGAAUAUUGGACAAUGGGCGAAAGCCUGAUCCAGCCAUGCCGCGUGUGUGAAGAAGGUCUUCGGAUUGUAAAGCACUUUAAGUUGGGAGGAAGGGCAGUAAGUUAAUACCUUGCUGUUUUGACGUUACCGACAGAAUAAGCACCGGCUAACUUCGUGCCAGCAGCCGCGGUAAUACGAAGGGUGCAAGCGUUAAUCGGAAUUACUGGGCGUAAAGCGCGCGUAGGUGGUUUUGUAAGUUGGAGGUGAAAUCCCCGGGCUCAACCUGGGAACUGCCUCCAAAACUGCAUGACUAGAGUACGGUAGAGGGUAGUGGAAUUUCCUGUGUAGCGGUGAAAUGCGUAGAUAUAGGAAGGAACACCAGUGGCGAAGGCGACUACCUGGACUGAUACUGACACUGAGGUGCGAAAGCGUGGGGAGCAAACAGGAUUAGAAACCCUUUGUAGUCC
rnacentral:rRNA from 1 species